rnacentral:rRNA from 1 species
UACAGAGACUGCGAGCGUUAUUCGGAUUCACUGGGCGUAAAGGGUGCGCAGACGGCCGUGUGUGUGAGGCGUGAAAGCCCGGGGCUUAACCCCGGAAUUGCACCUCAAACUACACGGCUAGAGCAUUGGAGAGGGUAGCGGAAUUCACGGUGUAGCAGUGAAAUGCGUAGAUAUCGUGAGGAACACCAGAGGCGAAGGCGGCUACCUGGACAAUUGCUGACGCUCAGGCACGAAAGCGUGGGGAGCAAAAGGG